rnacentral:rRNA from 1 species
GUCUACGGCCAUACCACCCUGAACGCGCCCGAUCUCGUCUGAUCUCGGAAGCUAAAAUAACUAGACAAAGUUCCACUCCUAACCAAGAAGCUGUCUGCA